rnacentral:tRNA from 1 species
GCAGCUGUGGCCUACUGGUUAGGGCUUUGGACUUGGAACUAAAGGGUUGCAGGUUCGGUCCCCGACCAGUAGGA